UACAGAGGUGGCAAGCGUUGUUCGGAAUUACUGGGCGUAAAGGGCGCGUAGGCGGUCGCCUAAGUCGGACGUGAAAUCCCCAAGCUUAACUUGGGAACUGCGUCUGAUACUGGGUGACUUGAGUUCGGGAGAGGAAUGUGGAAUUCCAGGUGUAGCGGUGAAAUGCGUAGAUAUCUGGAGGAACACCGGUGGCGAAGGCGGCAUUCUGGACCGAAACUGACGCUGAGGCGCGAAAGCCAGGGGAGCAAACGGG
rnacentral:rRNA from 1 species